rnacentral:rRNA from 1 species
GACGAACGCUGGCGGCGUGCUUAACACAUGCAAGUCGAACGAUGAAGCUGGAGCUUGCUCCGGUGGAUUAGUGGCGAACGGGUGAGUAACACGUGAGCAAUCUGCCCUUGACUCUGGGAUAACUGCGGGAAACUGUAGCUAAUACCGGAUACGAGGCUCGAAGGCAUCUUCGGGUCUGGAAAGAAUUUCGGUCAAGGAUGAGCUCGCGGCCUAUCAGCUUGUUGGUGAGGUAAUGGCUCACCAAGGCGACGACGGGUAGCCGGCCUGAGAGGGUGACCGGCCACACUGGGACUGAGACAUGGCCCAGACUCCUACGGGAGGCAGCAGUGGGGAAUAUUGCACAAUGGGCGAAAGCCUGAUGCAGCAACGCCGCGCGAGGGAUGAAGGCCUUCGGGUUGUAAACCUCUUUUAGCAGGGAAGAAGCGAAAGUGACGGUACCUGCAGAAAAAGCACCGGCUAACUACGUGCAGCCGCCGCCGUAA